GGGCGAAGGGGGAUGGUCUAAGGCAUGCGAGUCAUUGUAGUAACACAAGGCAGACGGCUCAGUAACGCGUAGUCAACCUACCCUAAGGACGGGGAUAACCUCGGGAAACUGAGAAUAAUACCCGAUAGAACAUAGCUCCUGGAAUGGUUUAUGUUUCAAAUAAUUUAUUGCCCUAGGAUGGGACUGCGGCCUAUCAGUUUGUUGGUGAGGUAAUGGCCCACCAAGACUAUUACAGGUACGGGCUCUGAGAGGAGUGGCCCGGAGAUGGGUACUGAGACACGGACCCAGGCCCUAUGGGGCGCAGCAGGCGAGAAAACUUUGCAAUGUGCGAAAGCACGACAAGGUUAAUCCGAGUGGUUUCUGCUAAAGGAACCUUUUGUCAGUCCUAGAAACACUGAUGAAUAAGGAGUGGGCAAGUUCUGGUGUCAGCCGCCGCGGUAAAACCAGCACCUCAAGUGGUCAGGAUGAUUAUUGGGCCUAAAGCAUCCGUAGCCGGCUUUGUAAGUUUUCGGUUAAAUCCAUGCGCUCAACGUAUGGGCUGCCGGGAAUACUGCAAAGCUAGGGAGUGGGAGAGGUAGACGGUACUCGGUAGGAAGGGGUAAAAUCCUUUGAUCUAUUGAUGACCACCUGUGGCGAAGGCGGUCUACCAGAACACGUCCGACGGUGAGGGAUGAAAGCUGGGGGAGCAAACCGGAUUAGAUACCCGGGUAGUCCCAGCUGUAAACUAUGCAAACUCAGUGAUGCAUUGGCUUGAUGCCAAUGCAGUGCUGCAGGGAAGCCGUUAAGUUUGCCGCCUGGGAAGUACGUACGCAAGUAUGAAACCUAAAGGAAUUGGCGGGGGAGCACCACAAGGGGUGAAGCCUGCGGUUCAAUUGGAGUCAACGCCGGG
rnacentral:rRNA from 1 species